CCUACGGGUGGCAGCAGUGAGGAAUAUUGGUCAAUGGGCGCGAGCCUGAACCAGCCAUGCCGCGUGCAGGAAGACGGCUCUAUGAGUUGUAAACUGCUUUUGUACAAGGGUAAACCUGAAUACGUGUAUUCAGCUGAAAGUACUGUACGAAUAAGGAUCGGCUAACUCCGUGCCAGCAGCCGCGGUAAUACGGAGGAUCCAAGCGUUAUCCGGAUUUAUUGGGUUUAAAGGGUGCGUAGGCGGAUUGAUAAGUUAGAGGUGAAAUGUCCGAGCUUAACUCGGGAACUGCCUCUAAUACUGUUGAUCUAGAGAGUAGAUGCGGUAGGCGGAAUGUAUGGUGUAGCGGUGAAAUGCUUAGAGAUCAUACAGAACACCGAUUGCGAAGGCAGCUUACUAAACUGUGACUGACAUUGAUGCUCGAAAGUGUGGGUAUCAAACAGGAUUAGAUACCCGGGUAGUC
rnacentral:rRNA from 1 species